GGCCGACUAGCUCGGUUGGUUAGAGCGUCGUGCUAAUAUCGUCAUGAUGCCAUAGACUAUUAACGCGAAGGUCUUGGGUUCGAUCCCCACGUUGGCCA